ACCGGCGCACGGGUGAGUAACACGUAUCCAACCUGCCGAUGACUCGGGGAUAGCCUUUCGAAAGAAAGAUUAAUACCCGAUGGCAUAGUUCUUCCGCAUGGUAGAACUAUUAAAGGAUUUCGGUCAUCGAUGGGGAUGCGUUCCAUUAGGUUGUUGGCGGGGUAACGGCCCACCAAGCCUUCGAUGGAUAGGGGUUCUGAGAGGAAGGUCCCCCACAUUGGAACUGAGACACGGUCCAAACUCCUACGGGAGGCAGCAUG
rnacentral:rRNA from 1 species